ACCGCAUAGGUAUGGACACUGCAUGGUGACCAUAUUAAAAGUGCCAAGGCACUGGUAGAGGAUGGACUUAUGGCGCAUUAGCUGGUUGGUGAGGUAACGGCUCACCAAGGCGACGAUGCGUAGCCGACUUGAGAGGGUGACCGGCCACACUGGGACUGAGACACGGCCCAGACUCCUACGGGAGGCAGCAGUAGGGAAUUUUCGGCAAUGGGGGGAACCCUGACCGAGCAACGCCGCGUGAAGGAAGAAGGAAUUCGUUCUGUAAACUUCUGUUAUAAAGGAAGAACGGCGGAUAUAGGGAAUGAUAUCCGAGUGACGGUACUUUAUGAGAAAGCCACGGCUAACUACGUGCCAGCAGCCGCGGUAAUACGUAGGUGGCGAGCGUUAUCCGGAAUUAUUGGGCGUAAAGAGGGAGCAGGCGGCGGCAGAGGUCUGUGGUGAAAGACUGAAGCUUAACUUCAGUAAGCCAUAGAAACCGGGCUGCUAGAGUGCAGGAGAGGAUCGUGGAAUUCCAUGUGUAGCGGUGAAAUGCGUAGAUAUAUGGAGGAACACCAGUGGCGAAGGCGACGGUCUGGCCUGUAACUGACGCUCAUUCCCGAAAGCGUGGGGAGCAAAUAGGAUUAGAUACCCUAGUAGUCCACGCCGUAAACGAAAAAUGCUAAGUGUUGGGAGUCAAAUUUCAGUGCUGCAGUUAACACAAUAAGUACUCCGCCUGCGUCGUUCGUUCGCUCGAGUGGUGCUCUCUGGUGUUGUCGGGGGCCCGCCCCCGCGGUGGGGCGUGUGGUUUUUUUCGUUGCGGCGCGCGGGGCCUUCCCUGGUCUUGUCCUCCGGCUGUNGGCCUCUGCGAUGUGGGGGUGGUUUUUUCCGGGCCCGGUGGUGCGUGGUUGUCGUCUGCUCGUGUCGUGUGGUGUUGGGUUUGGUCCCGCCCCGUGCGCGCCCCUUGUCGCUUGUUUCCCUCCUUUUGUUGGGGGCUCUC
rnacentral:rRNA from 1 species